AGUCGAGCGGUAACAGGAAUUAGCUUGCUAAUUUGCUGACGAGCGGCGGACGGGUGAGUAACGCGUAGGAAUCUGCCUGGUAGUGGGGGACAACAUGUGGAAACGCAUGCUAAUACCGCAUACGCCCUACGGGGGAAAGGAGGGGAUCUUCGGACCUUUCGCUAUCAGAUGAGCCUGCGUGAGAUUAGCUAGUUGGUGGGGUAAAGGCUCACCAAGGCGACGAUCUCUAGCUGGUCUGAGAGGAUGAUCAGCCACACUGGGACUGAGACACGGCCCAGACUCCUACGGGAGGCAGCAGUGGGGAAUAUUGGACAAUGGGGGCAACCCUGAUCCAGCCAUGCCGCGUGUGUGAAGAAGGCCUUAGGGUUGUAAAGCACUUUCAGGAGUGAGGAAGGGUGUACGGUUAAUACCCGUAUAUUUUGACGUUAGCUCCAGAAGAAGCACCGGCUAACUCUGUGCCAGCAGCCGCGGUAAUACAGAGGGUGCGAGCGUUAAUCGGAAUUACUGGGCGUAAAGCGCGCGUAGGCGGUUUGUUAAGUCGGAUGUGAAAUCCCAGGGCUCAACCUUGGAAUGGCACCCGAUACUGGCAGGCUAGAGUACGGUAGAGGGGUGUGGAAUUUCCUGUGUAGCGGUGAAAUGCGUAGAUAUAGGAAGGAACAUCAGUGGCGAAGGCGACACUCUGGACCGAUACUGACGCUGAGGUGCGAAAGCGUGGGGAGCAAACAGGAUUAGAUAC
rnacentral:rRNA from 1 species